AUGGUUGUCGUCAGCUCGUGUUGUGAGAUGUUGGGUUAAGUCCCGCAACGAGCGCAACCCUUGCUUUAGUUACCAUCAUUAAUUGGGGACUCUAGCGAGACUGCCGGUGUCAAGCCGGAGGAAGUGGGGAUGACGUCAAGUCCUCAUGGCCCUUAUGUCCAGGGCUACACACGUGCUACAAUGGCCGGUACAGAGAGCAGCAAGCCUGCGAGGGUGAGCGAAUCUCAAAAAGCCGGCCUCAGUACGGAUUGGAGUCUGCAACUCGACUCCAUGAAGUCGGAAUCGCUAGUAAUCGCGGAUCAGCACGCCGCGGUGAAUACGUUCCCGGGCCUU
rnacentral:rRNA from 1 species